CACCUUCUCCUUCAAUGGCUUUUUUAAAAAUGUUAUAUUAUCAAUAUUGAAGACAUAAAAACUACAAAAGAACAAAAAUGGGAUUAUGUGGUAAACAAAAAUAGUGUUAAACAAAGCAGAAUGUUUUAGGUUUUUAGAUCCCAAAGAACGCCUCGUUCGCUUUGGGGACACAUUGGCACACUUGGCAUCCAUUCAAUCAGCUUCAUGAGGUAUUCACCUGGAAUGGUUUUCAAUUAACAGGUGUUCCUGGUUAAGAGUUGAUUUGAGGAAUUUCUUUCCUUCUUGAUGCGUUAGAUACCAUCAGUUGUGUGGGCAGGUUUGGUGACAGUUCUACACAGUGAUCAGAACUAUUCCGCUACAGAUUUGAUCCAAAUCCGGCAACUAAGCAAAGAGAAACAACGAUCCAUCGUUACUUUAAGACAGGAAGGUCAGUGGAACAUUUCAAGAGCUUUGAAUGUAUCUUCAAGUUCCGUCUGUGAAAACCAUCAAACUCUACAAUGAAACUGGCUCUCAUGAGGGCCCCCCAGGACCGGAAGACCAAGAGUUACUUGAUGUUUUCAGGACAAUGACCCCAAACACACCUUCAGGCUAUGAAAGGGCUCACAAAGGAGAGUGACGCAGUGCUGCGUCACAUGACUUGGCAUCAAGAUUCAAUAUGACAAGGCCCCCAUCCACAAAGCCGGCUCCGUCAAGAGAUGCUUUCCCCAUUCUGCUGAAUGAAACCUGUCCAGAACCUUCUAGUGGAAAGAUCAAACUUUUGUUUCUAAUCAUACAGUCUUCGAUAAACAGACAAAGGUCUUGCCAUAAGGACCCCUCCCUUGUUGCAUGUGGCCCAUCAUGUGGUCCUACAGACCCAGAACCCAAUGCCAUCUCCGACUGGAGUCUUUAAUCACCCCAUGUUUUUGUGUGCAUGCGUGUAGAAAUAUGUGUGAUUGUAUAGUAUUUCCAAACAUCUUACAGCUAAUCAAGAGGGCCCCUGGGGCUCCUGGGCAUGGGCGUAAAUAAAGAGUAGGCAGUGAAAUGGGUGUAACAAUGUUAUUUAGUGUGUAAAUAUCUCUGUUUUGUUUGGACACUCACAAGUGUCCUUUGUGUAGUGAAGCAGCUACUGUUUCUGAUAAAGGAAGGAGUGGUGCUCGAUCAGAUAGGAACUCGGGGAUAAUGGUCUCCCACAGGUGGCCCAGGAGAGGGGGGGGG